AGAGCACAGGAAAGGGACCCCCACAGUCACCUGUGUUUGAAGGCGUCUACAACAAUUCCAGAAUGCUGCAUUUCCUUACAGCUGUUGUGGUAAGUUGGUACUUAACCCCCGGGUUGUUUAAGGAACGUAAUGCAUCUACUUUCUGGAGACACUCUUCUUAUUUUUCCCACUCUGCCAGGGCUCCACUUGUGAUGUAAAGGUGAAAAAUGGUACCACUUAUGAGGGUAUCUUCAAGACGCUAAGCUCAAAGGUCAGUGUACUCAAAUUUAAUUAUUUUUGGAGUUGCAGAGUAGGAGGAGAAUGAAAUAGGCUCAUUGAAGGUGUCAAUU
rnacentral:lncRNA from 1 species